UGGUCUGUGCACAACGACUUUUUAUCGCCUUUAACACGGAGUGUAUAUUGACACUAGAGACACUGUAAUCUAGAGUCCGUGCCUUUAAUAAGGACACGAAACGGAAAGAUAAAUAGGCCUACCAACAGCUUUGGACGUUAUGCUUUAAGCAAACAGUGCUUUCCAUUUACUGGGCGGUGUCUUUUCAUUCAGUAAAACGUUAAAUUUACGCAGUCAUUAACGUAGACCAUACGCUCUGUGAAGUAGUUCUAGUACGAUGUUGUUGACGAAGAUAAUAUGGGACCCAUUGACGCAGGCUCACGCAGCAAUACUUAUUGCCCACAUGGACCGCUUAUCGAAACAUGGGCUCUCAUGUUGUGCAGGUAUAAGACCAACCUUCGCCAACCGCCCAGAAUCGUAGAUGGUCAAGCCGAAAAUGCGAUCGGUCAGUGGGACUGGUCACGUCCAUAGAGGAUGCAGAACUUAAUGCAAUCAUCGGUGGAGGCGGGUGGUUGUCAAACCCGUAUUCAUCGAUAAUUUUCACUUCAAAAUGGCUGAAAUCUGAAAGACAGGAAUCCUACUCAGAUUGACACGACGAGAUUGGACGCAAACAACAGUCAGUUUACCGGCAGACUUAAAUCCUUGUAUGCUAUGAUAAAUGGUAAAUGUUACCAAAGCACUGCCUACUGUUGGAGAACAAUAUUUUGCUGAAAUGUGAAACUACUCUUUGUAUUGCUUCAUUUAUGCCAUAAACACAGAGGAUGAUACAGACAAGAGAGCAAUUACAACAGCAUGAUAUAAGCUCCACUUGUUUUGCUAAAAGUCGAGAAUAAACUAAUAUUCAUA